rnacentral:tRNA from 1 species
GCCGCGCUUGGCGGGGUGCGGGACCGCUCGUCGCUGGCGCUGACGGCGGCGCGCAUGAAGCAGGACACGAUCUUUCGCGACGCGGCGC